rnacentral:rRNA from 1 species
UAAGCGGAGGAAAAGAAACUAACAAGGAUUCCCCUAGUAACGGCGAGUGAAGCGGGAUGAGCUCAAAUUUAAAAUCUGGCGGCCUCAGGUCGUCCGAGUUGUAGUCUAGAGAAUCGUUUUCCGCGUUGGCCUGUGUACAAGUCCCUUGGAACAGGGCGUCAUAGAGGGUGAGAAUCCCGUCCUUGACACAGAUUACCAAUGCUUUGUGAUGCGAUCUCGAAGAGUCGAGUUGUUUGGGAAUGCAGCUCAAAAUGGGUGGUAAAUUCCAUCUAAAGCUAAAUAUUGGCGAGAGACCGAUAGCGAACAAGUACCGUGAGGGAAAGAUGAAAAGCACUUUGGAAAGAGAGUUAAACAGUACGUGAAAUUGUUAAAAGGGAAACGAUUGAAGUCAGUCAUGCUUUCCGAGACUCAGCCGAUUCUGUCGGUGUACUUCUCGGUUGGCAGGCCAGCAUCAGUUUCGAUCUGUGGAAAAGGUUGGAGGGAACGUGGCAUCUCCGGAUGUGUUAUAGCCCUUCUUCGAAUACAUAGAGCGGGACUGAGGAACGCAGCGCGCCUUUUAUUAGGUUGGCCCUCGGGUACAUACGCGCUUAGGAUGCUGGCAUAA